GCCAGGCACGAUAGUAUGUGCCUGUAGUCCCAGCUACUCGGGAGGCUGAGGCUGGAGGAUUGCUUGAGCCCAGGAGUUCUGGGCUGUAGUGCGCUAUGCCAAUUGGGUGUCCACACUAAGUUUGGCAUCAAUAUGGUGACCUCCCAGGAGUGGGGGACCACCAGGUUGCCUAAGGAGGGGUAAACCAGCCCAGGUCAGAAACGGAGCAGGUCAAAACUCCCGUGCUGUUCAGUAGUGGGAUCGCGCCUGUGAAUAGCCACUGCACUCCAGCCUGGGCAACAUAGCAAGACCCAGUCUCA
rnacentral:SRP_RNA from 1 species